rnacentral:rRNA from 1 species
GAGUAUGGGAGCUUGCUCUUAUACUUAGUGGCGGACGGGUGAGUAACACGUGGGAACAUGUCCUGUAGUGGUGGAUAGCUCCGGGAAACUGGAGGUAAUACAGCAUAAGCUCGAGAGAGGAAAGAGAGAUCGCUAUAGGGGUGGCCCGCGGCUGAUUAGGUAGUUGGUGGGGUAAAGGCCUACCAAGCCGAGGAUCAGUAGCUGGUCUGAGAGGAUGGACAGCCACACUGAAACUGAGACACGGUUCAGACUCCUACGGGAGGCAGCAGUGGGGAAUAUUGGACAAUGGGGGCAACCCUGAUCCAGCGAUGCCGCGUGAGUGAAGAAGGUCUUAGGAUUGUAAAGCUCUUUUGACAGGGAAGAUGAUGACGGUACCUGUAGAAUAAGCACCGGCUAACUCUGUGCCAGCAGCCGCGGUAAUACAGAGGGUGCAAGCGUUGUUCGGAAUUACUGGGCGUAAAGGGCGUGUAGGCGGUUUAAUAAGUCAGAUGUUAAAGACCCGGGCUUAACCCGGGGGCUGCGUUUGAUACUGUUAGACUAGAGAGCAGGAGGGGAGAAUGGAAUUUCCGGUGUAGAGGUAAAAUUCGUAGAU